AGGGUGCGGACUUCUGUCACGGCCACGGGUAUUGCUAUCGAGACCACGGUGGCGAUAAAUGUAAAUGUUUUGAUGGGUUCCUCGGAGACCGGUGUGAAAAGGAAAUAUGUUUGCGGAGUGAAUGUAGUAACAAUGGUAACUGUUUCAAGAUCAACGGUCACGUGACGUGUGAAUGCGAACAUGGCUACUUUGGACAUGUCUGUGCCAAUGAUCCUUGUAGCAACGUCACUUGUCAAAAUAACGGGACGUGUCACAAA